rnacentral:rRNA from 1 species
GUGGGGAAUAUUGGGCAAUGGGCGAAAGCCUGACCCAGCAACGCCGCGUGAAGGAAGAAGGUUUUCGGAUCGUAAACUUCUAUCCUUGGUGAAGAUAAUGACGGUAGCCAAGAAGGAAGCCCCGGCUAACUACGUGCCAGCAGCCGCGGUAAUACGUAGGGGGCAAGCGUUGUCCGGAAUGAUUGGGCGUAAAGGGCGCGUAGGCGGCCCGGUAAGUCUGAAGGGAAAGUCCUGCUUUUAAGGUGGGAAUUGCUUUGGAUACUGUCGGGCUUGAGUGCAGGAGAGGUAAGCGGAAUUCCCGGUGUAGCGGUGAAAUGCGUAGAGAUCGGGAGGAACACCAGUGGCGAAGGCGGCUUACUGGACUGUAACUGACGCUGAGGCGCGAAAGUGUGGGGAGCAAACAGGAUUAGAAACCCCAGUAGUCC